CAGAGAGUGCAAACGUUGUUCGGAAUUACUGGGCUUAAAGCGCACGUAGGCGGCGUCGUAAGUGUCAGGUGAAAUCCCACGGCUCACCCGUGGAACUGCCCGGCAUACUGCGACGCUCGAGUGUGGUAGGGAAGAGCGGAACUCCUGGUGGAGCGGUGAAAUGCGUAGAUAUCAGGAGGAACACCGGUGGCGAAGGCGGCUCUUUGGUCCACAACUGACGCUGAGGUGCGAAAGCCAGGGGAGCAAACGGGAUUAGAUACCCCGGUAGUCCUGGCUGUAAACGAUGGGCACUAGCUUGGGGUCUCCCUGUGUGAUCCCAGGUGAAGUAAAAAUGAUAAGUGCCCCGCCUGGGGAGUAUGGUCGCAAGGCUG
rnacentral:rRNA from 1 species